AGAGUUUGAUCAUGGCUCAGAUUGAACGCUGGCGGCAGGCUUAACACAUGCAAGUCGAACGGUAACGGGUUGAAAGCUUGCUUUCAAUGCUGACGAGUGGCGGACGGGUGAGUAAGGCUUGGGGAUCUGGCUUUUGGAGGGGGAUAACCAUUGGAAACGUUGGCUAAUACCGCAUAGUAUCGAGAGAUGAAAGGGGUGGGAAACCACUUGCCAAGGGAUGAACCCAAGUGAGAUUAGGUAGUUGGUGGGGUAAAGGCCUACCAAGCCGACGAUCUCUAGCUGGUCUGAGAGGAUGGCCAGUCACACUGGGACUGAGACACGGCCCAGACUCCUACGGGAGGCAGCAGUGGGGAAUAUUGCGCAAUGGGGGGAACCCUGACGCAGCCAUGCCGCGUGAAUGAAGAAGGCCUUCGGGUUGUAAAGUUCUUUCGGUGGUGAGGAAGGUUAGGAUGUUAAUAGCAUACUGAUUUGACGUUAGCCACAGAAGAAGCACCGG
rnacentral:rRNA from 1 species